rnacentral:rRNA from 1 species
GACGAACGCUGGCGGCGUGCCUAAUACAUGCGAGUAGAACGCUGAAGGAGGAGCUUGCUCUUCUGGAUGAGUUGCGAACGGGUGAGUAACGCGUAGGUAACCUGCCUGGUAGCGGGGGAUAACUAUUGGAAACGAUAGCUAAUACCGCAUAACAGUAGAUGUUGCAUGACAUUUACUUAAAAGGUGCAAUUGCAUCACUACCAGAUGGACCUGCGUUGUAUUAGCUAGUUGGUGGGGUAACGGCUCACCAAGGCGACGAUACAUAGCCGACCUGAGAGGGGGAUCGGCCACACUGGGACUGAGACACGGCCCAGACUCCUACGGGAGGCAGCAGUAGGGAAUCUUCGGCAAUGGACGGAAGUCUGACCGAGCAACGCCGCGUGAGUGAAGAAGGUUUUCGGAUCGUAAAGCUCUGUUGUAAGAGAAGAACGAGUGUGAGAGUGGAAAGUUCACACUGUGACGGUAUCUUACCAGAAAGGGACGGCUAACUACGUG